GUUAGAAACGGGGUGACGGAACCGGGAAGGUCCGAGUAGAGGCAUAGUCCCCAUUGCACAGAGGCCGGUCUGAGGCUCGGCGACGCCGCCCGUGGGCCCCGCACCAGGCCCGGGAGAGGGUCCGCCGUGCCCUGGUCCCACUUCUCCCGCGGCUCCCGGCGCCGCUCCGCUCACAGAGUCCGAUGGCGGCGGCGGCGGCGCUUAGGCACCAGCCUCAGAGUCCGAAGGCUGCAGAAGUACUUAUGGAAACAAAACAGGUAUGGUAGUGGUGUCCUAGUACCUUACUGGCUCCAACCCUCACUCGGAUGCUUUCUGGUUUGUGGUGUCCUGAGACUCUUACGUGCCAUUUUCCCAGUCCUUGGGUCUGGGGACCCUAGAGAAACCCCAAGCCCAGGGUUCUAAGUCUAUAUCAGGGGUGAUAUGGAGGUGUUCCCAUUUCUGGCGACUAGUGUAAACUAGUGUGGAAGGUUAACCCAGGAGCUGCUACCAGGUUAUGCAAAUACUUAGUGUUAAAACUGAGCUGGGAGUGUUAAGGAACCACAGGUCUCUCUUUCUGGUAUGAACAAAGGAAAGGAAUAUAGGAUGACUGCCUGAGAAAUGGGGCAUCUAUUUUGGAGGUAUUGGGAGGUUUGGAUCAGAGGAGGGAGGUGAUAUUACCAAGGUCUAAAAAGGCUCCAUCUGACUGUAAAGUGGAGAACAGACUGUGGGAGUGAGGGAGGAGCAAGGUGGAGGCUACUGAGGGUUAAUGGGCCAGGGCUGUGGUUUAGGAGAUGUGGUCGGAGUCUGGAUGCAUGUUCUAAAAAGGGGCGACUAGGUUUUAUAGUAUGAAUGAUGAGAGAGUGAAACAGAGAACUCAGGGAUAACCCCAGCGUGUUUGGUCUUGGCAGCUGUAGGGAUGGAAGCUCCAACUGAGAUGAGGAAGUUGGUAGUAGGAGUAAUAAUCACUGGGGGUAUCAGGAACUUUGUUUUAACCAUGUUAAGAGUCUGAGGUAUUUCAGAGACCAGUAAGUGGAGGCAUCAGAUUGUCAGCUGGACUCACAAGUUGGGAAAUCAAAAGAGGGGUUCAAGUUGGAGACAUUCAAAAAGUGGUAGGUACUAUGUGGACCCAAGUAAGUGACCUGUGGUCACAGGAGGUAUAAUCUUCAUGUUACAGUCCUAAAGCUGUUCAGGAAGCAGGAAGUGGAGGAUAGAGACUGACUACUUAUUCUCUUGCUUGAGUACCUGAGUGAUGGUUUUGGUUUCUUAAGUGCAAUUGAGGGAGGUAUGUGGCCAUAAAUGUAGGGUAUAUCAGACAUGAGAGCCUGGCAAGUGGCCAAGGCUUCCAAGAGAAGAGUAGAUAUGAGAUGGAUGUCAAGGCAUAGGAGUGCUUGAGGCAAGAUGACAUGCAGACCAGAGCUAUUUCUUAUUCACCACACUAUGGACUCACCAAGAUCCUGUGAGGACUUUGCUGGGGCCUGGAAUGUUUCAAUUAGCCUGGUGGAUAUGGUCAGGGCAAGUAUGGUCAUUUGUGUUAGUUAAUAGGACUGGGGUUGUUGGUAAGUGGGACUGGACUUUGAAUGAGGGUUAGAUGGACAGAGAAGGCUGUCAUAGCUGAGGGACAGCAAGAGCAGCACAGAAAUGCAAGAGGGCCAUGGGCAUCCAACGUCGACAUGUGGUUCUGUGUGGCUUAGUCUUAGGCAAGGAGUAGCCAUACAGGGAGGGAGGCCUUCAUAAUGGGAUUAGAUGAUUCCACCCCCAGUGGGAGCCAUGGGAGGUCUAAGCUAAUAUUGAAUCUUGUUUGAAUUUGCCAGGCAACUCUGGGUGCUUUCUGCAAAGUUGUAUUUUUAAGGCCUAAAAUAAAGGCCCAUUAUCACGUGCUGCCUUGACAUCUAAUAAAACCUAGAGUGGCUCAAAUGGCCUGAGUGUAAGUUCCCCUCUCGAAUUGGUGAUCUUGGAUAGGGUCUCCCAUUUUAUCAAGGGGGCUAGAGCAGUUCCUUCUCUUAAGAAAAACUCAACUCACAUUGGCGGAAAUUCCCUGACGGUACAGUGAUUAGGACUCAGCACUCUCACUGCCGGGGCAUGGGUUCGAUCCUUGGCUAGGGACCUAAGAUCCUGCAAGCUGUGUGGCAGGCCCCCCAAAAAAGAAAGAUCAAAUUAGCUUUAUUCAACAAUUCAUGCUUUGGGUAGCAUCCCAUCUGGCAAAUAGAAAGGAGCUCCACUGAGCUGUAUAAAAGGAAAGGUUUUUAAAUGUGGAAAGGGUGUGGAAAAGGGAAAUUAUUAGCAAAGAAUGCAUUGUCUCAGGCAAGUUUGCCCUCCAGUGGGGAACGAAAGGGGUCUAUUGGGCAGAUUACCUCACUAGUUCUGACCAGGAAAUUCCAGGCUGAUUAGUUAAAGGUUACUUUCCUGGAGGUUGAAACCGCAGUUAGGUUGGGUAUUGAAUAUUAAGUCUUGGUUUGCUUGUGUGGGGUUUAGCACAGUGACUCUGUUUUCACCUUCCAUCUCCUUUUUAACAUUGCUAAUCUUUUUUGAAGUGGGUUUCAGUUCUCUACUGGCCUGCAGAGUUAUUCAGACAAGCCAUUGCAUCAUCCUCUAGGAAACAGGUUGUACCCCGACCUCUUGAUCCUAAAAAACUUCCACCGCACAAUCCCUGGUGGGGUUUUUUCUUUUUUCCAGUGUACAACAUUCAUGUGACCCUGUAUGGUAUGUGAUGUCCUCCUCUCGCAGGCUAUAUCUCUAAUUAAUAAACUGUUGUUGAUCUCA